CAUCACGUGCACAUGGACAAUACCGUCAUGGUCGGCCAUAGAGAGACAUUGUAUUCAAUAAUUCUGUAUGGCAAAAUCUUAGGCAAAUCGCAGCGAGCACUGCGCAUGCGCCUAAGGUGCCCAAUACUCUUCUACGAGGAGCAUUGGGUUAGUCGUCAUCCUGGAGGCACGUCUCCAGGAUGACAUCAUUCGAGGAGGAAGUUGUGGCAGAACCAAGGGAGAAUUGGCACUGGA